AGUGAACGCUGGCGGUAGGCCUAACACAUGCCAGUCGAACGGCAGCACAGUAAGAGCUUGCUCUUACGGGUGGCGAGUGGCGGACGGGUGAGGAAUACAUCGGAAUCUACUUUUUCGUGGGGGAUAACGUAGGGAAACUUACGCUAAUACCGCAUACGACCUACGGGUGAAAGCAGGGGAUCUUCGGACCUUGCGCGAUUGAAUGAGCCGAUGUCGGAUUAGCUAGUUGGCGGGGUAAAGGCCCACCAAGGCGACGAUCCGUAGCUGGUCUGAGAGGAUGAUCCGGCCACAAUGGAGGUGAGACAGGGCCGAGACUCCGACGGGGGGAAGCAGGGGGGAAUUUUGGAGAAGGGGCGCAGCCCUGACCAAGCAAUCCCGGGUGGGGAAAAAAGGCUUUCGGGUGGUAAACCCUUUUUGUGGGAAAGAAAAAGCAACAGUUAAAUACCCGGCUGUUGGGACGGUACCCAAAAAAAAAGCCCCGGCUACCUCCGUG
rnacentral:rRNA from 1 species